CGAAGGAGGGGAGGGGGACACCCAGUGCGAGUAUGAGCUUCUGGCGGGGUGCUGAGGAGGCGAGGCAGCAGCCAGAGGUGGAGGAGAUGGGCUCACAUUUAUGAAUCACAAGUCCAACUGCAGGCAGGCAAGCGUCACGCAGACAUUGGAGGACGAUCAAUUUGGGCUUUUUCUUUGUGCUCUAGGUGACUAACAUCAGGAGCUUUAUAUUUUUCCUCGAACGUCUGCACGACCUGCAAGAAUGCAUCCAAAUAACUACUUGCCAGAGCUGGUGGCUGAGAAAAACACGUUGGACCCUCAGUUUGUCCAUGCUUUGCGUCUGCUUGCAGAAGAAAUUGAAAAGCACGAAGGUGAUGAACUGCGAAAAGACGGCAUUAUAAAGAAAUACCUUGAUAUCAUCAGCAAUAAGAACAUUAAGCUGUCCGAGAGGGUCCUCAUCCCAGUGCAACAGUAUCCCAAGUUUAAUUUUGUUGGAAAGCUGCUGGGGCCUCGGGGAAAUUCCAUGAAAAGGCUACAAGAGGAAACAGGAGUGAAGAUGUCCAUCCUCGGAAAAGGGUCCAUGAGGGAUAAAGACAAGGAAGAAGAAUUGAGGAAAAGCGGAGAGGCCAAAUAUGCACAUCUGAGUCACGAUCUUCAUGUGUUAAUUGAGGUCUUUGCUCCACCGGGUGAGGCCUAUUCCCGCAUGAGUCACGCCUUAGAGGAGAUAAAGAAAUUCCUUGUUCCAGACUACAACGAUGAGAUCAGACAGGAGCAACUACGUGAGCUCUCUCUGUUGAAUGGCUCUGACGAGUCCAAAACGGGCAGGAAUGCACAAGCAAGGAGCUCUCGAGCAGCAACUACAGUAUCCAGCAGGGCCCGCAGGAGCGCGGGAAGAAGCGCGCUAACACCUCGGGGGACGGCGACCGCCACACACAGCAAGCUCACAGCGUCUGUUUUAAAGAGGGAGGCCCAAGCCCCCAGAGCCCGGGCAGCGGUGGCGGCGGCAAGUGGAGGUUACCGACCCUCGCUGUUGGCAGGGACUCAUGAAUCAUACGACGACUACGGCUACGACGAUGGAUACGGAGGAGAAUACGACGACGAGAGCUACGACGCCUAUGACGACAACUACAGCAAUCAGUCAAAGAGCAUCUCAGAUUACUACGAAUACGGACAAGCAACAAACGACGAAUCCUACAAUAACUAUGAGGAGGAGUGGCCCACUUCACGUCCCAGUCUUAAAGCUCCGCUCCUACAGAUGACAAGAGGGGGAUACAGAAAACAUCCUUAUGGUAGAUACUGAAGGUAUAAAAGCACGGUAGCAGCGCGGACAAGCGGCCAUAAAACAGUACAAUGUAUGGGAGGAUCUGCUCCAUGAGGCAGAAUCAGCGAUCACCAUUGGUCAAGUGAACGCCAAGAAAGACUGGAGUCUAAGGUGCUUAAAGACUUUGCCGCUGUCAUCACAUUUCUUCAUCCUUCAAAAAGCCACUCUGUCUGUGAGCGUCUUAUAUACUGUAGGCAGCACUCGGCCAAGAAUCCAGCAUCAAAGAAGUGGCGGAGCCUCGUUGAUGUCACCUGUUGUUAUUCUGCACGGCUCAGGUUGUUUGGACUUUUAUAUCUUAUGAAAGAGAGUGAGUUUGAUAGACUGACAGUGUCUUGUCAACACCAGCUGGCCAAGCUUGAAAGCACUGCUGGUUCCUGAGAAACCCAACUUUAACUGAAAACUACCUUCUAGAAAUGUCAACAUUUUGUAAGAAAGUUUUUUCCAAAGCAAUUAAAGCUUGUAAAACCA